rnacentral:rRNA from 1 species
CCUACGGGUGGCAGCAGUGGGGAAUAUUGGACAAUGGGCGCAAGCCUGAUCCAGCAAUGCCGCGUGGGUGAAGAAGGUCUUCGGAUUGUAAAGCCCUUUCGGCGGGGACGAUGAUGACGGUACCCGCAGAAGAAGCCCCGGCUAACUUCGUGCCAGCAGCCGCGGUAAUACGAAGGGGGCUAGCGUUGCUCGGAAUGACUGGGCGUAAAGGGCGCGUAGGCGGCCCUGUCAGUCCGGCGUGAAAGCCCUGGGCUCAACCUGGGGACGGCGCUGGAGACGGCGGGGCUGGAGGGCAGGAGAGGCUCGCGGAAUUCCCAGUGUAGAGGUGAAAUUCGUAGAUAUUGGGAAGAACACCGGUGGCGAAGGCGGCGAGCUGGCCUGUCUCUGACGCUGAGGCGCGACAGCGUGGGGAGCAAACAGGAUUAGAUACCCGAGUAGUC